GAGGGCGGGGGAUAACCACUGGAAACGGUGGCUAAUACCGCAUAAUGUCGCGAGACCAAAGUGGGGGACCUGAAAGGGCCUCACGCCGUCGGAUGAACCCAGAUGGGAUUAGCUGGUAGGUAGGGUAACGGCCUACCUAGGCGACGAUCUCUAGCUGGUCUGAGAGGAUGACCAGCCACACUGGGACUGAGACACGGCCCAGACUCCUACGGGAGGCAGCAGUGGGGAAUAUUGCACAAUGGGCGCAAGCCUGAUGCAGCCAUGCCGCGUGUAUGAAGAAGGCCUUCGGGUUGUAAAGUACUUUCAGCGGGGGAGGAAGGAUUUAGCCUGAAGAAGGUUAGAUUUUGACGUUACCC
rnacentral:rRNA from 1 species